rnacentral:rRNA from 1 species
GUGCCAGCAGCCGCGGUAAUACAGGGGGGGCAAGCGUUGUUCGGAAUUACUGGGCGUAAAGGGCUUGUAGGUGGCCAACUAAGUCACACGUGAAAUCCCCAGGCUUAACCUGGGAACUGCGUGUGAUACUGGAUGGCUUGAAUCCGGGAGAGGGAUGCGGAAUUCCAGGUGUAGCGGUGAAAUGCGUAGAUAUCUGGAGGAACACCGGUGGCGAAGGCGGCAUCCUGGACCGGUAUUGACACUGAAAAGCGAAAGCCAGGGGAGCAAACGGGAUUAGAUACCCCAGUAGUCC